UACGUAGGGGGCAAGCGUUGUCCGGAUUUAUUGGGCGUAAAGAGCGUGUAGGCGGCCAGGUAGGUCCGUUGUGAAAACUCGAGGCUCAACCUCGAGACGUCGGCGGAAACCCUCUGGCUAGAGUCCGGAAGAGGAGAGUGGAAUUCCUGGUGUAGCGGUGAAAUGCGCAGAUAUCAGGAAGAACACCCGUGGCGAAGGCGGCUCUCUGGGACGGUACUGACGCUGAGACACGAAAGCGUGGGGAGCAAACAGG
rnacentral:rRNA from 1 species